GUGGGGAAUUUUGGACAAUGGGCGCAAGCCUGAUCCAGCAAUGCCGCGUGCAGGAAGAAGGCCUUCGGGUUGUAAACUGCUUUUGUACGGAACGAAACGGUCUGGGUUAAUACCCUGGGCUAAUGACGGUACCGUAAGAAUAAGCACCGGCUAACUACGUGCCAGCAGCCGCGGUAAUACGUAGGGUGCAAGCGUUAAUCGGAAUUACUGGGCGUAAAGCGUGCGCAGGCGGUUUUGUAAGACAGUCGUGAAAUCCCCGGGCUCAACCUGGGAAUGGCGAUUGUGACUGCAAGGCUGGAGUGCGGCAGAGGGGGAUGGAAUUCCGCGUGUAGCAGUGAAAUGCGUAGAUAUGCGGAGGAACACCGAUGGCGAAGGCAAUCCCCUGGGCCUGCACUGACGCUCAUGCACGAAAGCGUGGGGAGCAAACAGGAUUAGAAACCCUUGUAGUCC
rnacentral:rRNA from 1 species